rnacentral:rRNA from 1 species
UACGUAGGGUGCAAGCGUUUAAUCGGAAUUACUGGGCGUAAAGCGUGCGCAGGCGGUUGUGCAAGACAGAUGUGAAAUCCCCGGGCUUAACCUGGGAACUGCAUUUGUGACUGCACGGCUAGAGUGUGUCAGAGGGGGGUAGAAUUCCACGUGUAGCAGUGAAAUGCGUAAAUAUGUGGAGGAAUACCGAUGGCGAAGGCAGCCCCCUGGGAUAACACUGACGCUCAUGCACGAAAGCGUGGGGAGCAAACAGG